UACGUAGGGUGCGAGCGUUGUCCGGAUUUAUUGGGCGUAAAGAGCUCGUAGGCGGUCUGUUGCGUCCGCUGUGAAAACUCGGGGCUUAACCCCGAGCCUGCAGUGGAUACGGGCAGACUAGAGGUAGGUAGGGGAGAAUGGAAUUCCCGGUGUAGUGGUGGAAUGCGUAGAUAUCGGGAGGAACACCAGUGGCGAAGGCGGUUACCUGGAGCUUUGCUGACGCUGAUGCACGAAAGCGUGGGGAGCGAACAGG
rnacentral:rRNA from 1 species